rnacentral:rRNA from 1 species
UGGAGAGUUUGAUCCUGGCUCAGAUUGAACGCUGGCGGCAUGCCUAACACAUGCAAGUCGCACGCGAAAGGGGGCAACCCCAAGUAGAGUGGCGGACGGGUGCGUAACGCGUAGGAAUCUACCUCGUAGUGGGGGACAACCCGGCGAAAGCCAGGCUAAUACCGCAUACGAUCUAAGGAUGAAAGCAGGGGACCGUAAGGCCUUGCGCUAUGAGAUGAGCCUGCGUCGGAUUAGCUAGUUGGUGAGGUAAUGGCUCACCAAGGCAACGAUCCGUAGCUGGUCUGAGAGGACGACCAGCCACACUGGGACUGAGACACGGCCCAGACUCCUACGGGAGGCAGCAGUGGGGAAUAUUGGACAAUGGGGGCAACCCUGAUCCAGCAAUGCCGCGUGUGUGA